UCCUCAUCGCGAUUUCCAGAGAUGAUUUCUUCAGUUCGGCUGGCGAGAACACAGGUGUUGCAUGGCUGUCGUCAGCUCGUGUCGUGGGAUGUUGGGUUAAGUCCCGCAACGAGCGCAACCCUCGCCUUUAGUUGCCAUCAUUUAGUUGGGCACUCUAGAGGGACUGCCGGUGAUAAGCCGGAGGAAGGUGGGGAUGACGUCAAGUCCUCAUGGCCCCUACGGGUUGGGCUACACACGUGCUACAAUGGCGGCGACAAUGGGCAGCGAAGGGGCGACCCGGUGCAAAUCCCAAAAAGCCGUCUCAGUUCGGAUUGUACUCUGCAACUCGAGUGCAUGAAGGUGGAAUCGCUAGUAAUCGCGUAACAGCAUGACGCGGUGAAUACGUUCCCGGGCCUUGUACACACCGCCCGUCACACCAUGGGAGUUGGUUUUACCCGAAGCUGGUGCGCUAACCGCAAGGAGGCAGCCAACCACGGUAAGGUCAGCGACUGGGGUGAAGUCGUAACAAGGUAGCCCUAGGGGAACCUGGGGCUGGAUCACCUCCUUAAGCUUGGAUUCCCGGG
rnacentral:rRNA from 1 species